UACGUAGGGUGCAAGCGUUGCCCGGAUUUAUUGGGCGUAAAGGGCGCGUAGGCGGCUCUGCACGUCCGUUGUGAAAUCGCCCGGCUCAACUGGGCGGGGUCAGCGGAUACGGCAGAGCUUGAGCAAGCUAGGGGGCAAUGGAAUUCCCGGUGUAGUGGUGGAAUGCGUAGAUAUCGGGAGGAACACCAGUGGCGAAGGCGGGUCUCUGGGCCGGAUACUGACGCUGAGGAGCGAAAGCGUGGGGAGCGAACGAGG
rnacentral:rRNA from 1 species